rnacentral:rRNA from 1 species
GACGAACGCUGGCGGCGUGCUUAACACAUGCAAGUCGAACGAAGUGGCGAACGGGUGAGUAACGCGUAAUCAACCUGCCCUUCAGGGGGGGACAACAGUUGGAAACGACUGCUAAUACCGCCUAAUGAGGGAGGGGAUUGCGUCUGAUUAUCUAGUUGGAGGGGGAACGGCCCACCAAGGCGAUGAGCAGUAGACGGGCUGAGAGGAUUGACGGCCACAUUGGGACUGAGACACGGCCCAGACUCCUACGGGAGGGAGCAGUGGGGAAUCUUUCGCAAUGGACGAAAGUCUGACGGAGCAACGCCGCGUGAGUGAUGACGGCCUUCGGGUUGUAAAGCUCUGUUUAUCGGGACGCGGUACCGGAAUAGAAAGCCACGGCUAACUACGUGCCAGCAGCCGCGGUAAUAC